AGGACGAACACUUCAUCAGGUGAGGAGUUGUCUGGUUCGCGGCGGACGGUGAUAUGCCUAGGAUCUGCUGGAUGGGGGAAACGCCGGAACGGCGUAUACCGCUACUCCUGAGGGAAAAUGGGGACUUCGACUCCGUAUCAGAUGACCUAGGCGAUACUAUUGUGGGGAAGCCACACGGAAGACCGAGUGGCCGAACUGACGGCGAGACUGAACAUCCUGUUGUACCGAGGUUCGAGUCAUGUGAUCGCCGGGGCGCUCCCUUGUGUCCUCUAACACCUUCGCGUAAAGAAUCACACUCACGAUUACUCAUAUUUGGUGAGUCCAGUGACCGAAUUCCAC
rnacentral:rRNA from 1 species